GUUUUCUUUCACUUUUCCCCCAAUCACUCUUUUCUUCCCAACUCUUCAUAAUGUCCUUCUAUUUACGAAAUCUUGCAAUUGAAGAAUAGAAGGAUUUGAGGUUUUGAUUUGAACUGAUCCUCAUUGUUUUUUCAAUUUAAUGGAUCAACGCCGGCGAAUCAAAACCGUACCGGAUGGAAAUAGGGAUUUGAUAAGUGAGCUGCCGGGAGAGGUAAAAGAUAGAAUUUUGGAGUGCUUGCCCACCCGAGACGCCGCCAGAAUGGCUCUGCUCUCAACCCACUGGAAUGAUGCUUGGUUGCAGCAUGGGCGGCUUGCGUUCGAUUCGGACUUCUUGCAUAGUGUUGAACAGUGCUAUGAAGGUGAAGAAGUUAGUGCGAGAUGGUUGGCACCGCAUUUGAAAGCCAUUAAGACUCUUUGGUUGUGUGGCUCUUCGUUGCGGUAUAUGGAUGUAUCUAUGUUUCCAACUGCAAUAAAUCUGCAAGUGAUGAAGCUGUAUGAAUUAAGCUUUUGUUGUGGGAAGCAGAUCACCGUUGCUAUGCAAUUGCUUCAAAAAUGCCCCAACCUAUGUGAACUAGGAUUUAUGGUGGAUGAGGAGAGUAAUCGUUGGGUGGAUGACAAAGAAGUUGCUUCUAGGCUUUUGGAGGAUCCAGAUGGUUGCUUUCUUAUUCAGGAGUUGAAGAUGCUUAACACAAUCAAGAUUGAAUCAUUCCGUGAAUCCGCACUCAUAAUGCCUUUUAUGAAAAUGCUGCUCUCGAAAUCCCCUGCGCUAAAGAGAGUUGUUAUUUUGAAGCCUUGGGAUAUGAAUGACUCUGAGGUGAGCAAAAUUCUAAGGGAGUUGGAAUGCUUCCCUCGUGCAUCACCAAACGCGCAAAUAGUCUGCACCGGCAAGUACUGCAUGCGCGAUUACUAUGAGCGUGAGGAUUAUUUGGAUUUAUACCCAUGGUUUUAGCCUUUUAGAAACCUAGCAUGGUGUGGUGAAUCUCCAUGGGGGUUCAAUUUGGGUGCAACUUAGAAAUGCACAAUCCUACCUGGCCACCUAUCUGAUGGCGACGAAGUCGAAAAUGCCCAAAACUUUUCACAAUCCCUGCUGGAAUCUUGGAAACAAUCUAUCUAGUAAGUGUUUCGCUUUGAAAAUUCCAGUUUCGACCUCUGAUGAAAUUGAUUCGGCCAAUGGGGAUUUUGUGACUGUCACGCGAAAGAAACGCAGGCCAAGAAAGGAUUAUUCUCAUCACUCAUCUUGCUGCUGGGAAGAUCGCUAAAGUUUCUUUGUUUGAGCCUUUUUUAGCCAAAGAUAAUAUUGACUCCUACAUCAGAACACUUAAUAAUUUCCAUAAUCGCUUGCUUCUUCAGUUGGCAAAAUCUGGAUUCUCUGCUCUCAUUCUUUUGAUGUUAAUGUUCUUUUUGAUUUUGAACAAUUUAUUUACUGUAGAGCAUCAUACAUUCCUUGGAACUUUGACUUUGAGUUUGUGGCAGUAUAUGCAAAACACACUCGUGCAGACAUCACAACUUAAUGCUAUAAUAGAGACAUACAAGCUCUAUUCCACUUCUUCUGGGAGGAGAUUUUAAUGUCAUCUUGAGCAUUUGAGGAAAUGCAACCCCUGAGUUAAAUAGCAUCUCAUAUUUCUCAGACCAUUCUUUGCUUGAUUUAGCUACUACUGGGGGUUAUGGAAUCCGAAAUAUAUAGGGGAAGAGUAUGGAAACAGAUCGACAGGUUCCUUCCUUCUCUCUUCUUCCUUUAGAGAUUAUUUUACUGAUGUUAACAUUAUGCUCCUAAACAGGACAACCUCAGAUCAUGCGCCAGCCAAUAUUGCUUUGUGGCUUUGAUCAAUUGGUAAAAGCAAAGUGGUGAAUUCCCGUUGUUGGAGGGGGUAUGCGUGCCCUUGCAUUUAAACUUAAAAGACUCAAGCAGGCGCUCCGAUCCGUGUAUGGAAUCGGGAGGUUUUUGGCAAAAGCGUUUGCCCGAGUAGCUUGGCCUUUUCUACAGCGAUUUGGCUUCCCAGCUACUUUCAUAAAUUUGAUUAUGAACUUUCUUAGCGCAACUCGACUUUCAGUGCGUGCUAGUUAACAGAGUUUCUUCAAACCUUCAAGGGGUGUAAAACAAGGCGACCCAUUCUCUCCUCUACUCUUUAUCCUAGUCUCAGAGGCUAUCUGGACAGAAAAGGUUUUUUUGUCACCUCAAAACACUGCCCUCUGAACCGCAUUACUGCAAUGGAGGAGAUCCUUUCCUAGGUAUGAAAAGAUCUUCACUACCUUUCCGCUAUUUAGGAGUGAACCUAUUCCAAGGGCUAAACAAGAUCGAUCAUUUUUUAUCAACAUGUAUAUUUUGGAGAAUGUCAACAACUAACAACCUUCAAGGUUGGCAGCGCAAACUCCUAUCCCCGGGAGGUCACCUAAUUCUCAUUAAACUAUUCCCCGCCAAUUGAUCAAAGAACUAGAGCGAAAAUUCGCUACAUUUUUCUGGGGAACAUAUAUAUGAAGGUAAGCAAAAAUAUCACUGGGAUAAAAUUUGCUUGCCUACUGAAGAAGGGGGACUGGGAGUCUGUAAUCUAUCAGCUAUUCAAUAAGCUUGCUCAGCGAAACUUUGGUUUAAUUUUAAAAACAAAGACUCCCUCUGCUCUGAGUUCAUGAAAGCUCGCUACUUCAAAGCUCAGCCCGGAAAAAUGGAUCACCAAUCUGAUCUAGUGGACAAUCAUAGCUGCGAGCGAGAUUGAAAAUGAAAUUAUUUGGAAACAGUCCACAAAAGGUGAUUUUACUCUAGCAACGACAUAUGACCUAAUUAGGCCAAGCUAAGGAAGGGCUGAACUAUCUUCAAACUGUAUCUAUCUGGGCACCAGGUUUAUCAACUAAAUGCUCAAUUUUCAUGUGGAAACUCCGAUCCUCAGAGUUGAAGAUCCUUGUCUUUCCCAGACUGUCUCGAAAGGUUUGGAAUCUGCCCCCCUUCCUUCUAUUUGUCCAUUCUGCUUUAAUUUAAUGCGAGUGCAUCACUAGAACAUUGCCUCUACUCUUGUUCUCACAUUAAUGGAGCGUGGCAAUCAUUUGCUGCUAUAUAUGUUCGGAAUCUCCCUAAAUAAUGCUCCAUCAAUCCCAACUGUAUGCUGGCUUUCAGCCCAGCCAAGAACAGCUUCAGGAUUCUACUGCUAUAUUAUAUUUUCCCUUGUCUUAUCCUUUACAAUAUAAUGCAGCACUCUUUGAAGAUAUACCAUUCUCUUUAGUUGCUGCCAUCUCCAAGUUUGAUUCAUCCUAUUUGCAAAAUUAAAGCAAUUCAUCACAUCAUUUCCUGGUUACUGAAGGGAUAGUUUCCUCCUUUUCCCCGAACAAGAGACUCAGGAUCACUUGGAUCAAAUGGCAUUAAACCACCCUCUGGUCGUUUAAAACUUAACACUGAUGCAUUAUUUUCCAUCAACGGAGCGGCUUGCUUAAGGAUUAUCCUUCCCCCUUCUAGCUUCCUCGGCACUCGAAGCAGAAGCACAGGCGUUAGACUUUGCCUUGUCUUGGUGUGAGCUUAUCUCUAUGAUCCCGACACUUAUUGAAGUUGAUUAUCUUGUUUUGGCUCAAUCUGCUUCCUCCUCCUCUCACUUGAUUCCAUGGAGAAUUCGCCGUGCGCUCAAAA